rnacentral:rRNA from 1 species
AUGAUCUAUGCAUAUGGAAGAAAAGGGCAGAUGAAAGAAGCCUCAAGAUUGUUUUCUGAGAUGAAAUCUUCAGGCCUGGUACCAGAUAUUGUAACAUACAAUAUCUUUGUUAAGAGUUAUGUGGCCAACUCAAUGUUUGAAGAGGCUAUUGAUUUAGUACGUUAUAUGGUUACUCAUGGUUGCAAGCCCAAUGAGAGAACUUACAAUUCAAUACUGCAGGAGUACUGUAGGCAUGAUAAGAUAGCAGAUGCCAAAUCAUUCCUUAGCAACCUUCCUCAGCUUCAUCCUGGAAUAUCCAAACAAGAACAGCAAAGACUGCUAGAACUGUUGGCUAGGCACACUUCAAGAGAUAGAGGU